rnacentral:rRNA from 1 species
AGCGAACGCUGGCGGCAGGCCUAACACAUGCAAGUCGAACGAAGUCUUCGGACUUAGUGGCGGACGGGUGAGUAACACGUGGGAACGUACCUUUUGGUUCGGAACAACUCAGGGAAACUUGAGCUAAUACCGGAUGAGCCCUUAGGGGGAAAGAUUUAUCGCCGAAAGAGCGGCCCGCGUUAGAUUAGCUAGUUGGUGAGGUAAAGGCUCACCAAGGCUACGAUCUAUAGCUGGUCUGAGAGGAUGAUCAGCCACACUGGGACUGAGACACGGCCCAGACUCCUACGGGAGGCAGCAGUGGGGAAUCUUGCGCAAUGGGCGAAAGCCUGACGCAGCCAUGCCGCGUGAAUGAUGAGGGUCUUAGGAUUGUAAAAUUCUUUUACCAGGGAGGAUAAUGACGGUACCUGGAGAAAAAGCCCCGGCUAACUUCGUGCCAGCCGCCGCGGUAAUAC